UACGUAGGGUGCAAGCGUUUGUCCGGAAUUAUUGGGCGUAAAGAGCUCGUAGGCGGUUUGUCGCGUCUGCUGUGAAAACCCGAGGCUCAACCUCGGGCCUGCAGUGGGUACGGGCAGACUAGAGUGCGGUAGGGGGAGAUUGGAAUUCCUGGUGUAGCGGUGAAAUGCGCAGAUAUCAGGAGGAACACCAAUGGCGAAGGCAGCUCACUGGGACGAUACUGACGCUGAGACGCGAAAGCGUGGGGGAGCAAACAGG
rnacentral:rRNA from 1 species